ACCUACAAUCAUAAAAUACAAAAAGCUCCAUAUCUCCUUGAACUAGAACCCGCUGAUUGAAUGACUCUGAUGGGCCAGGCAUUGUGCCAGAGCAGAAGAGAUGAAACUGCAGUCCGAGGACACUUGCUGCUUCGCAAAAGUAUGUUACUGAUCUGCGACUGCUGAGGCCACAGCCACCACACUGGGCCCAAGGAAGACACCCUUCCACCUGUCUGUUUGCAUGAUCAGAUGCCCACUGCCUGCUGCCCCUGUCUUGCCCCAGGCAUCCUACUCUGCUCAAGAGCCUACCAAGACCUCCUGCUGAGGAAGCCUGGCCAUAAACCAGUUUGGGUCAGUGUGCGCUGAUUGCUGCAUUGCCUCCUGCCCAUCAACCAGCUGA